rnacentral:rRNA from 1 species
UACGUAGGUGGCAAGCGUUGUCCGGAUUUACUGGGCGUAAAGGGCGUGCAGGCGGUUUGUUAAGUCUAGGGUGAAAGCUCCCGGCUCAACUGGGAGAGGUCCUUGGAUACUGGCGGACUUGAGGGAUGCAGAGGAAAGUGGAAUUCCCGGUGUAGUGGUGAUAUGCGUAGAUAUCGGGAGGAACACCAGUGGCGAAGGCGGCUUUCUGGGCAUUUCCUGACGCUGAGACGCGAAAGCGUGGGGAGCGAACCGG